rnacentral:rRNA from 1 species
GACGAACGCUGGCGGCGUGCUUAACACAUGCAAGUCGAACGGAAAGGCCCUGCUUUUGUGGGGUGCUCGAGUGGCGAACGGGUGAGUAACACGUGAGUAACCUGCCCUUGACUUUGGGAUAACUUCAGGAAACUGGGGCUAAUACCGGAUAGGAGCUCCUGCUGCAUGGUGGGGGUUGGAAAGUUUCGGCGGUUGGGGAUGGACUCGCGGCUUAUCAGCUUGUUGGUGGGGUAGUGGCUUACCAAGGCUUUGACGGGUAGCCGGCCUGAGAGGGUGACCGGCCACAUUGGGACUGAGAUACGGCCCAGACUCCUACGGGAGGCAGCAGUGGGGAAUAUUGCACAAUGGGCGGAAGCCUGAUACAGCAACGCCGCGUGCGGGAUGACGGCCUUCGGGUUGUAAACCGCUUUCGCCUGUGGCGAAGCGUGAGUGACGGUAAUGGGUAAAGAAGCACCGGCUAACUACGUG